rnacentral:misc_RNA from 1 species
GAUGAAGAACGUAGUGAAAUGCGAUAAGUAAUGUGAAUUGCAGAAUUCAGUGAAUCAUCGAAUCUUUGAACGCACAUUGCGCCCCUUGGUAUUCCGGGGGGCAUGCCUGUUCGAGCGUCAUUUCAACCCUCAAGCUCAGCUUGGUAUUGAGUCCAUGUCAGUAAUGGCAGGCUCUAAAAUCAGUGGCGGCGCCGCUGGGUCCUGAACGUAGUAAUAUCUCUCGUUACAGGUUCUCGGUGCGCUUCUGCCAAAACCCAAAUUUUCUAUGGUUGACCUCGGAUCAGGUAGGGAUACCCGCUGAACUUAAGCAUAUCAAUAAGCGGAGGA